UAGGAGCUAGUUAAAAAAAUAACAUUAAUUUGUCAGGUUAAAAUUGCACAGUAUGCGUUCCUAG
rnacentral:tRNA from 1 species